UCCGUGGCUACAGAACGAACGCCGGCGGCAUGCCUAACACAUGCAAGUCGAACGGGACCUUCGGGUCUAGUGGCGCACGGGUGCGUAACGCGUGGGAAUCUGCCCUUGGGUUCGGAAUAACAGUUAGAAAUGACUGCUAAUACCGGAUAAUGUCUUCGGACCAAAGAUUUAUCGCCCAGGGAUGAGCCCGCGUAGGAUUAGCUAGUUGGUGAGGUAAAGGCUCACCAAGGCGACGAUCCUUAGCUGGUCUGAGAGGAUGAUCAGCCACACUGGGACUGAGACACGGCCCAGACUCCUACGGGAGGCAGCAGUGGGGAAUAUUGGACAAUGGGCGAAAGCCUGAUCCAGCAAUGCCGCGUGAGUGAUGAAGGCCUUAGGGUUGUAAAGCUCUUUACCAGGGAUGAUAAUGACAGUACCUGGAGAAUAAGCUCCGGCUAACUCCGUG
rnacentral:rRNA from 1 species